rnacentral:lncRNA from 1 species
CAUAUCCGACACUGUGAUGUACGAUGAGAAUAUUAUGUUUCAAGUUAUUUCAACGAUAUUCAUGCGAUGGAAAUAUAUUUUUCGCGCGACCGAAUUAUUUUCGUAUGAGUAUUUCGGUUUAAUUUUCUAGGUCACUCCAGUUAGCUAUGUGCUGUUAGAUGAUUAAUUCUAGCCAGCUAUUAUCAAUUCACCAGAAAAUAAAUAAUCCAGUCAGAUAUGUGUUGGUGCCAUGCUAGCACAAUAUGACUACUUAUUUAUGCCCCUAAAAAAGAGCAGUU